rnacentral:snRNA from 1 species
GUGCUCUCUUCAGCGGCACAUACACUGAAACUGGAACUAUAUAGGGAACAGUAGUAUGACCUUGCUCAAGGACAACACACAAAUUCAUGAAGCAUUCCAUAUUAUU